UGGGGAAUUUUGUGCAAUGGGGGAAACCCUGACACAGCGACACCGCGUGAGCGAAGAAGCCCUUUGGGGUGUAAAGCUCUUUUGUCAGGGAAGAAACGGUAGUAGCGAAUAACUAUUACUAAUGACGGUACCUGAAGAAUAAGCACCGGCUAACUACGUGCCAGCAGCCGCGGUAAUACGUAGGGUGCAAGCGUUAAUCGGAAUUACUGGGCGUAAAGCGUGCGCAGGCGGUUGUGUAAGUCAGAUGUGAAAUCCCCGGGCUCAACCUGGGAAUUGCAUUUGAGACUGCACGGCUAGAGUGUGUCAGAGGGGGGUAGAAUUCCACGUGUAGCAGUGAAAUGCGUAGAUAUGUGGAGGAAUACCGAUGGCGAAGGCAGCCCCCUGGGAUAACACUGACGCUCAUGCACGAAAGCGUGGGGAGCAAACAGGAUUAGAUACCCACGUAGUCCCUGAGCGGGCUGGCAAGGCGCAU
rnacentral:rRNA from 1 species